rnacentral:rRNA from 1 species
CUACGGGAUGCUCCAGUGGGGAAUAUUGGACAAUGGGCGCAAGCCUGAUGCAGCCAUGCCGCGUGUAUGAAGAAGGCCUUCGGGUUGUAAAGUACUUUCAGCGGGGAGGAAGGGAGUAAAGUUAAUACCUUUGCUCAUUGACGUUACCCGCAGAAGAAGCACCGGCUAACUCCGUGCCAGCAGCCGCGGUAAUACGGAGGGUGCAAGCGUUAAUCGGAAUUACUGGGCGUAAAGCGCACGCAGGCGGGUUGUUAAGUCAGAUGUGAAAUCCCCGGGCUCAACCUGGGAACUGCAUCUGAUACUGGCAAGCUUGAGUCUCGUAGAGGGGGGUAGAAUUCCAGGUGUAGCGGUGAAAUGCGUAGAGAUCUGGAGGAAUACCGGUGGCGAAGGCGGCCCCCUGGACGAAGACUGACGCUCAGGUGCGAAAGCGUGGGGAGCAAACAGGAUUAGAUACCCGCGUAGUC